AGCGAACGUUUGCGGCGGGCCUAACACAUGCAAGUCGAACGCACUAGCAAUAGUGAGUGGCGCACGGGUGCGUAACACGUGGGUAAUCAACCCUUCAGCUUGGGAUAACGACUUGAAAGGGUCGCUAAUACCGGAUACGGCGCGGGAGGCUUCGGCUUCUCACGAGAAAGCCUCGCAAGGGGCACUGAAGGACGAGCCUGCGGCCCAUCAGCUAGUUGGUGAGGUAAGAGCUCACCAAGGCGAAGACGGGUAGCUGGUCUGAGAGGAUGAUCAGCCACACUGGAACUGAGACACGGUCCAGACUCCUACGGGAGGCAGCAGUGGGGAAUAUUGCGCAAUGGGCGAAAGCCUGACGCAGCCACGCCGCGUGAGCGAUGAAGGCCUUGGUCGUAAAGCUCUGUGGGAGAGACGGAGAAGACCUGUGAAGAGCAGGCCUUGACGGUAGUCUCCUUAGCAAGCACCGGCUAACUCCGU
rnacentral:rRNA from 1 species